AUAAGUGUAGUAAAUCCUAAAUCUAUUUUAUUACUUAAUUACGGUUAAGUUCUAUCAUCUGGAUUAUAGUUUUUCAUGCUAACUGCUGGGAGAGAAAAAAAGGUUGUACGCUGUUUAAUUGUGUUAAAAGUGUGUUUGAGAAGAGGGGAGAAGAGAGGACUGAGAAGAAUAAGAGUAUUUUGUGUCUGAAAAAUAUGGAUCAAUAAUGUUAUUAACUACUAGUAUAAUUUUACUUCUUGACAAAAAACAAAGAGUGUUAACUACUAGUAUAAUUUUAGGGCUACUUUGAAUCGUAGGAAUGAAAAAGGAGGAAUAGGAAAAACAUAGGAUUCUGACAGGAAUGUGUUUGUAAAACAGAGAAUUGCAAAACAUAGGAAAAACACAGGAAUGAUCGUUUGAUUGGACCACAGGAAAAACACAGGAAUCGGAUGAGAGAGAUAGACUCAAAGGAUUUUUACCAAGAGGUUGGACCUCUUGCUAAGUUUCCUUCAAAACCUAUAUGCAAUAUGCAACAAGCCAUUCCAUCGGAAUUUUGUAGGAUUUGGAAAACUUCAAUCCUUUAAAUCAAAGGGUUACAUAGAAAAAUUUCCUGUAGGAUUUCAAUUCUAUGAAAUUCUUUCAUAAUUCCUUUGAUUCAAAGGGGCUCUUACUUCUCGACGAAAAACAAAGAGUUAGGCCUCCUUUGAAUUGGAGGAAAAAUGGAGGAAAAACAAAGGAAUUGAAAUCCUACACUAUUCAUGUCUUUGAUUCGUAGGAACGAGAAAAGGAAAAACGUAGGAAACUUUCCUAUUCCUACAAUUCUAGAGCAAAAACGUAGGAAAGUUAACAUCCACUCUAACCUCGGAAAACUUUCCUUGAGUCUAUCUCUCAUGUGAUUCCUGCAUUUUUCCUGCGGUCUAAUCAAACGGUCAUUCCUAUAUUUUUCCUAUGUUUUGUAAUCCUCUGUUUUACACUUGCAAUCCUACCAAAAUCUCGUGUUUUUCCUAUUCCUCCGUUUUUUCAAUCCUACAAUUCAAAUGGGCCCUUAGUAUAAAUCAAAUCCAAAUCUACCCAAAAUUGUCCGUGAAAUCUGCUAAACCUGUGGUGUUAAAUCUGGCUGGUUGCCUGUCUUCCAUAAGAGGAGAGAUCUGGAGCGUCGCUAUCUCAUCCAACGGUCACUUGGUGCCCCUCCCUGUCCUGUUACGCUUGACUACUCUCGUUGCCACGUCACUAAGCACAGCCUCAUCCUCUUCUUCCCCGCGCGGACGAAAAAUCGCGCCGCUCUCCGGCGCAAAACUGCAGCGAGGCGAGCUCGCCCUCGCCUCCGGCUACUCCGAGCCGCGCCGCAAUGGCCGCCGCGCCGGUGGCCUCCCCAUUCCCGGCGCUUCCCUCCUCCUCCUCCUCCACCACCAUCGCGGCCUCCACCGCCGCGCGCCGGUGCCACGACGCGCUGCUCCCACCGCCAGCCGCCGCGGGGCGCGAGCCGGCUCGCACCAGGGGAUCCUCCUCCUCCUUGGCUGGCGCCGCGGGGGAGAGGAGGAGGCGGCGAGGCGAGGAGGAUGGCGGCGAGGUCGAGGCCGAGGCGGAGCGGCGGCGAAAGGAGGAAGUGAACCGUAAGAUCGCGUCCCGGAAGGCGCUCUCCGUCAUCCUCCGCCGCGAGGCCACCAAGGCCGUCCUCGACAAGCGCAAGCCCGGCAAGGGCACCCGCCGCCUCCUCCCCCGCACCGUCCUCGAGGCCCUCCACGAGCGCAUCACCGCCCUCCGCUGGGACUCCGCCCUCAAGGUGUUCGAUCUAAUGCGCGACCAGGUGUGGUACAGGCCGUACGUCGGGAUAUACGUCAAGCUGAUCACCAUGCUGGGCAAGUGCAAGCAGCCGGAGAGGGCGCACGAGCUGUUCCAGGCCAUGGUGGACGAAGGCUGCGCUCCCAACCUCGAGUCCUACACGGCCCUCGUCUCCGCGUACAGCAGGAGUGGCCGCUUCGACAGGGCCUUCUCCUUGCUCGAGCAGAUGAAGGCCACCCCUGGUUGCCGACCUGAUGUGCAGACCUACUCCAUUCUCAUCAAGUCAUGCUUGCACGCCUAUGAUUUUGAGCGGGUCAAGUAUUUGAUGGAAGAUAUGGCGCGGGCGGGUAUCCGUCCCAAUGUCGUGACUUAUAACACAUUAAUUGAUGCCUAUGGGAAAGCAGGAAGGUUUGCUGAGAUGGAAUCAACUCUUCUGGAGAUGCUGACUGAAAAUUGCAAGCCUGAUGUAUGGACAAUGAAUUCUACUCUCAGAGCUUUCGGUGGCAGUGGUCAAAUUGAAACUAUGGAAAGCUGUUAUGAGAAGUUCCAGGCCUCCGGUAUCUCCCCAAACAUUAAGACUUACAAUAUUUUACUUGAUUCCUAUGGUAAAGCUAAAAUGUAUGAGAAGAUGGGAGCUGUGAUGGAAUACAUGCAGAAGUAUUACUAUUCUUGGACAAUAGUCACAUACAAUGUAGUUAUUGAUGCAUUUGGAAGGGCUGGGGACCUUGAACAGAUGGAAUAUAUUUUUAGAUUGAUGAAAUCUGAGCGUAUAAAGCCCAACUGUGUUACACUCUGCUCGUUGGUUCGAGCAUAUGGAAGGGCUGGGGAUGUUAAGAAAAUAAAGACAGUGUUGAGAAUCGUUGAGAAUUCUGACAUAACGUUGGAUAUUGUGUUCUUCAACUGUUUGGUGGACGCGUUUGGGAGGGUGGGGUGCUUGGCGGAGAUGUGGGAUGUUCUUGAUAUAAUGAAAUUACAACGAUGCAAACCAGACAAGGUAACCUGCACUACCAUGAUUAAAUGGUUUCUCAUCAAAGGAAUUGAUGAUCAUCGUGUUCAGUACCUACGGGACUUAAAAGACGGGCGAUCUAAAGAUAACAUAUAGGCACUAACACUAAGCAGACAAUGUCAGAACUUCAGUUUGCAAGAUGGAACAACCUGUCAGAACACUAAGCAGACAAUGGUGAUAUUUGUUCUCCGUAAUUUUCCAAGAAAGAUGGAACAACCUGUAAGAACUCCAGUUAGCAGAGACACAUCAAUCUUAGCCUGCUCUUUGUAGGUAGCUUCAUUGUUACUUAUUCAACAUGUAAUGUACACAACACAACAAUGAAAGUUUGUUUUACGAUCUUAACAAUGGAGCUAUUUGACUGCAUCUGGCAAAACUGCCUAUGGUUAUGGCAUCCCAUAAAUGAAUUAUGUCUUGAGGAUCUGAGCAAGAUUUUGCUAUCCGAGCAAACGGAUCAGGACAAUGAAAUAAAGAAGAAGGCCUUGACGAACAGUGAAUCUUAAGUGUCGGUGACCAAUCAGUUAGAUUGUGCUGUGCUGUUGUGACUUGAUGUAUGGAUCAUACAGCUGUACAUGAUAUUCAGUAUUGACUCGUGCAAAGAUGGAGAGAAACUUAAGUGGUUAUGAAUUACAUGUUGUAGACUUCUGUGUGCUCCCUUUUGAUUAUUCUAGCAUGACAGAUGAUUUGUUGGCAUUUCACUUAAAACAUUUUUGUGCUAUCAUUGCCCUGCAAAUAGAAAAGGAGAGAGAAUGGGCACCUAACAUAUGGACCAAGGAAUUGUUCUGAAGGAAGAUUCUCCAUGAGGCAUCAACAUUGAUUCGAUAAGAGCUUCAAAGCCUCAAAGAGAACUUUGUUCCGGAAGCAUUUAGAUUUUGGCAGCUUGGCACUGAACUGGAGCGGCUCAUUUUCAACAUCAUUUGUUGCUGCUGCAUGUCUACCUGGGCCCUCCUGUUGUAUGAACAUCAAAAUCUUCCAACCUUCACCAAUCAAUGCUACUACGUACUAUAUAGCAAAAUACUGUGUACUGUUAUGCCAAGCUCUGGCUAGUCUAGUCGAUGGCGAUGCAGCCGGAGCAACUGCAACCGUGCCGGGCCAAACACAGCUAAGUGCUAGCUAAACUGCACAGGAACUGAUCUGAUCACCUAUAAUUAUCUCUCUUUUUAGAACAUGAUCAUCUAUAAAAAUCAUGAUUUAUGUAUAGUGGGGGAACAUCUAAUGCCACUAUGCCACCAACCCGUGCACAGAUCACAUGAAUUGCAGCCCCUUUUUUUUUCAAGAAAUAGAGGUAGAAUAUACUAUAAUGAUCUGUUGUUGGGGUGGUUAAUUAAAUUGCUGAUUUGCUGACAAGAUUUGUACUAGAAGGAACAGAAAAUUCCAGAUAGAAACUCACUCAUUUUUUCCUUAGAAAAACAUAAUAAAACCAUAGUGACUGUUAUGAGUGAUGCUGAUGAAUGGCUGGCCCAAUAUUCUGCUAGGAAUUCAUAGUUAGGACUUGGAAUUUGGACUCUGCCAGUGAGCAACAACUGGCCAACGUGGGUCCGGCCAAACUAAAGACUCGGAGAAGAGAACACACUACUUGGACUGUGGACUACUGGAGUAUUAUUGGAUGCAGAUGAACGCAAAGCAUCCAGGCCUUUUCUUUCUUCUUCCUGGUGUUUACUGGUCAGUCUGCCCAGUCCACUUCGUUUCUUUGCUUCCCUUUUUUGUGGCUUCAGGGAGAUGUUGCUGCCCUGUUGCUGAAAGCAAAAGCAAAGGUGGAAGGUGAUGAACAGGUCAGGAAACUAUUUAAGCCAGUGAUUGCUUCACUUAUUAUUACAGAGCAACGACUUGUUCUUCUGAACACAUAUUUGUCGGAGUUAAAGAGGGCCCGGGGUAUAUACGACGCAUAUAUACCGCAUUUGAUAAAACUCCAGGUCCGAGCAAUACGUGGUCGCUCGUGUAUCUUGUAGAAAAAAUAGGUGGUACGCCCUGUUGCUAGCUGCUGCCGUGUUGUUUUCCUGAGUUUAUGUGUGCCCCAAACGUCUCCUUUGUUUGCUGUUCGCUCAAUCAGCCGUCCAUCUGUCUACGUGUUCCAGUGGCUUUUUUUCUACGGUAAUGUGUGCUUGGAUUGUUGCUGCUGCUGCUUGACGACAAGGGAGCAUGGGAUCGAUGUGAUUUUAUGUUGCAGUCGUGUUCCUCUUGUAGUCGUAACCUAACCGGUGAAAGCCAAAGGUAUAGCUGUGAAUAUUGAGUUAAUUUCUCUUUGGGUUGUCUUUUAUUACCGAUAUUUUGUUUUGGAUUAACUUUUAACAAACGUAUUUAUUUUGGAUUGGAUAAUUUUACCUUUA